rnacentral:misc_RNA from 1 species
CAACCCUCAAGCUCUGCUUGGUGUUGGGUCCCGCCCGCUGCGGCCGGCCCUAAACCCAGUGGCGGUGCCGUCUGGCCCUAAGCGUAGUACUCGUCUCGCUCCAGGGUCCUGCGGUGGCCUGCCAGAACCCACACUCUUUAU